UUGCAAAAUAAAGGUUAAACAAGUAGUGGAAUUUUUGUUGUAAAUGUACUGCUAAUAGUGGAACUUGUGAUAUAAAUUUACAGGAAGUAGUGGAACUUGCAAAAUAUAUGUACAGCAAGUAAUGGAACUUGCAACAUAAAUGUUUAGCAAGUAGUUGAACUUGCAACAGAAAUGUACAACAAGUAGUGGAAUUUGCAAAUUAUAUGUACGGCAAGUAGUGGAACAUGCAAGAUAAACGUACAGCGAGUAGUGGAACUUGCAACAUAAAUCUACAGCGAGUAGUGGAACUUGCAAAACAUAUGUACAGCAAGUUGUGGAACAUGCAACAUAAAUGUACAGCAAGUAGUGGAACUUGCCACAUAAAUCUACAGCGAGUAGUGGAACUUGCAAAAUAUAUGUACAGCAAGUAGAGGAACUUGCAACAUAAAUGUACAGAAUUUUGCAGGUAGUGAAACUUGCAAAAUUAAUGUGCAGCAAGUAGUGGAACUUUUUUUGAUAGACGGUCGGAGGGGGGAUUUGACAUCUUCCUCAGCAAAUAUGAAGACUGAUGCAUCUUGUAAUACUACUACUCAAAUAAGGUCAGAGGGGGUAACCGCUACUUCCUUCUUCAAAAAUAAAUACUCUGGAUGCAUCUUGUAAUACUACUACUGUAAUAUGGUCAGAGGAGGAGGGAUACGCCCUUUUCUCGUGUCUUUGUGUACACCACCACUUUUUUAAAGAUGUAAAAAAAAUUAUUCAUUUUAUAAACUUGAUCUAUUAGAUGUAUAUUUUGAAAUAAAGAUAAAAAUAAUUAUGAGAAUGAUUGUUUUUUUUAAUUA